rnacentral:rRNA from 1 species
GUGAGGAAUAUUGGUCAAUGGGCUUACGCCUGAACCAGCCAAGUCGCGUGAGGGAAGACUGCCCUAUGGGUUGUAAACCUCUUUUGUCAGGGAGCAAUUGGCGCUACGUGUAGCGUUAUCGAGAGUACCUGAAGAAAAAGCAUCGGCUAACUCCGUGCCAGCAGCCGCGGUAAUACGGAGGAUGCGAGCGUUAUCCGGAUUUAUUGGGUUUAAAGGGUGCGUAGGCGGCCUGCCAAGUCAGCGGUAAAAUUGCGGGGCUCAACCCCGUACAGCCGUUGAAACUGCCGGUCUCGAGUGGGCGAGAAGUAUGCGGAAUGCGUGGUGUAGCGGUGAAAUGCAUAGAUAUCACGCAGAACCCCGAUUGCGAAGGCAGCAUACCGGCGCCCUACUGACGCUGAGGCACGAAAGUGCGGGGAGCAAACAGGAUUAGAAACCCCUGUAGUCC